CAGAAAACUGAGGUGACAUCUAUUACAUGGGAUGCCCCUGCGUCUAAUGGCCUUUAUAGUGUGGAUGUGAAAUAAUGAGCAGGAAGGUUGUGGCCAGGGUGAACUGGGCAAAAGAAAGUCAAACAAUGCCACCGCCUUUGAUAAAAAUGAAGAUAGAUGGGAAUGAAGGGAUCAAAUAAUCCUACUCUUCAACUUGUUAUGAGAAAAGAAGUUUUUCUCUUUGCUCCCUUGAUAUUCCUUCAUUCAAUAAGGUAAAACUUUUAAAUGUUCUUACAUCUUCUAAAUGCAUAUGCUAGAAGCUAAAAUAAAGUGCUAGCUUCAUUUUUUCCA
rnacentral:lncRNA from 1 species